rnacentral:rRNA from 1 species
AACGAACGCUGGCGGCAUGCCUAACACAUGCAAGUCGAACGGGAUCCGGACUUCGGUUCGGUGAGAGUGGCGGACGGGUGAGUAACGCGUGGGAACCUGCCCAGUGGUGGGGGAUAACUGCGGGAAACUGCAGCUAAUACCGCAUGAGCCCGAGAGGGGAAAGAUUUAUCGCCAUUGGAGGGGCCCGCGUUCGAUUAGGUAGUUGGUGGGGUAACGGCCCACCAAGCCGACGAUCGAUAGCUGGUCUGAGAGGAUGAUCAGCCACACUGGGACUGAGAUACGGCCCAGACUCCUACGGGAGGCAGCAGUGGGGAAUAUUGGACAAUGGGGGCAACCCUGAUCCAGCAAUGCCGCGUGAGUGAUGAAGGCCUUCGGGUUGUAAAGCUCUUUUGCCAGGGACGAUGAUGACGGUACCUGGAGAAUAAGCCCCGGCUAACUUCGUGCCAGCCGCCGCGGUAA